rnacentral:rRNA from 1 species
AGCGAACGCUGGCGGUAUGCUUAACACAUGCAAGUCGAGCGCGAAAGUGACUUCGGUCAUGAUUAGAGCGGCGGACGGGUGAGUAACACGUGGAUAAUCUGCCUUAAGGACUGGGAUAACUCUGGGAAACUAGGGCUAAUACCGGAUAAGACCACAGGUUCUAUGGAACCAGCGGUAAAAGGCGGCCCUCGGGCUGUCACCUAAAGAUGAGUCCGCGUCCCAUCAGGAGUUGGUGAGGUAACGGCUCACCAAGCCGAAGACGGGUAGCCGACCUUAGCGGGUGAUCGGCCACACGGGGACUGAGACACGGCCC